rnacentral:rRNA from 1 species
UACGUAGGGGGCAAGCGUUGUUCGGAAUUACUGGGCGUAAAGGGGGCGUAGGCGGCGCGGUAAGUCGGGUGUGAAAUCUUGGAGCUUAACUCCGAAACUGCAUUCGAUACUGCCGUGCUUGAGGACUGGAGAGGAGACUGGAAUUUACGGUGUAGCGGUGAAAUGCGUAGAUAUCGUAAGGAAGACCAGUGGCGAAGGCGGGUCUCUGGACAGUUCCUGACGCUGAGGCACGAAGGCCAGGGGAGCAAACGGG